rnacentral:rRNA from 1 species
UACGAAGGGGGCUAGCGUUGUUCGGAAUUACUGGGCGUAAAGCGCGUGUAGGCGGGUCUUUAAGUCAGGGGGGAAAUGCCAGGGCUCAACCUUGGAACUGCCUUUGAUACUGGAGACCUUGAGUCCGGGAGAGGUGAGUGGAAUUGCGAGUGUAGAAGUGAAAUUCGUAGAUAUUCGCAAGAACACCAGUGGCGAAGGCGGCUCACUGGCCCGGAACUGACGCUGAGACGCGAAAGCGUGGGGAGCAAACAGG